rnacentral:rRNA from 1 species
AACGAACGCUGGCGGCAUGCCUAACACAUGCAAGUCGAACGAGACCUUCGGGUCUAGUGGCGCACGGGUGCGUAACGCGUGGGAACCUGCCCUUAGGUUCGGAAUAGCUCCCCGAAAGGGGUGCUAAUACCGGAUAAUGUCUUCGGACCAAAGAUUUAUCGCCUUUGGAUGGGCCCGCGUUGGAUUAGCUAGUUGGUAGGGUAAAAGCCUACCAAGGCGACGAUCCAUAGCUGGUCUGAGAGGAUGAUCAGCCACACUGGGACUGAGACACGGCCCAGACUCCUACGGGAGGCAGCAGUGGGGAAUAUUGGACAAUGGGCGAAAGCCUGAUCCAGCAAUGCCGCGUGAGUGAUGAAGGCCUUAGGGUUGUAAAGCUCUUUUACCCGGGAUGAUAAUGACAGUACCGGGAGAAUAAGCGCCGGCUAACUCCGUG